rnacentral:rRNA from 1 species
CAGUCGCCGCGGGAAUACGUAGGGUGCGAGCGUUAAUCGGAAUUACAGGGCGUAAAGCGUGCGCAGGCGGUUGUGUAAGACAGGUGUGAAAUCCCCGGGCUUAACCUGGGAACUGCGCUUGUGACUGCACAGCUAGAGUAUGGCAGAGGGGGGUGGAAUUCCACGUGUAGCAGUGAAAUGCGUAGAGAUGUGGAGGAACACCGGUGGCGAAGGCGGCUCUCUGGACCGAUACUGACGCUGAGGCGCGAAAGCGUGGGGAGCAAACAGGAUUAGAUACCCGGGUAGUCCCUGUCUCUUAUAC